AACGAACGCUGGCGGCAUGCCUAACACAUGCAAGUCGAACGGGAUCCUAGCUUGCUAGGUGAGAGUGGCGGACGGGUGAGUAACACGUGGGAAUCUGCCUUUUUGGUUCGGGAUAACCGCGGGAAACUGCGGCUAAUACCGAAUGCCCUCGAGAGAGGAAAGAUUUAUCGCCAGAAGAGGAGCCCGCGUCCGAUUAGGUAGUUGGUGGGGUAAAGGCCUACCAAGCCGACGAUCGGUAGCUGGUCUGAGAGGAUGAUCAGCCACACUGGGACUGAGAUACGGCCCAGACUCCUACGGGAGGCAGCAGUGGGGAAUAUUGGACAAUGGGGGCAACCCUGAUCCAGCAAUGCCGCGUGAGUGAUGAAGGCCUUAGGGUUGUAAAGCUCUUUUGCCAGGGAGAUGAUGACUGUACCUGGAG
rnacentral:rRNA from 1 species